rnacentral:rRNA from 1 species
CAGGACGAACGGCUGGCGGCGUGCCUAAUACAUGCAAGUCGAACGGUCUUUCUAUGGAAGCUUGCUUCCACUGAGAAGAUAGUGGCGAACGGGUGAGUAACACGUGGGUAACCUGCCCAUAAGAGGGGGAUAACAUCCGGAAACGGGUGCUAAUACCGCAUAGUUUUCUUGAUCGCAUGAUCGGGAAAGGAAAGACGGCCUUUGUGCUGUCGCUUAUGGAUGGACCCGCGGCGUAUUAGUUAGUUGGUGAGGUAACGGCUCACCAAGACGAUGAUACGUAGCCGACCUGAGAGGGUGAUCGGCCACAUUGGGACUGAGACACGGCCCAAACUCCUACGGGAGACAGCAGUAGGGAAUCUUCCGCAAUGGACGAAAGUCUGACGGAGCAACGCCGCGUGAGUGAAAGAAGGUUUUCGGAUCGUAAAACUCUGUUGUCAGAGAAGAACAAGUUGGAGAGUAACUGCUCCAGCCUUGACGGUAUCUGACCAGAAAGCCACGGCUAACUACGUGCCAGCCGCCGC